rnacentral:rRNA from 1 species
CGCAAGACCUCGCGCGAUUGGAGCGGCCGAUAUCAGAUUAGGUAGUUGGUGAGGUAAAGGCUCACCAAGCCGACGAUCUGUAGCUGGUCUGAGAGGACGACCAGCCACACUGGGACUGAGACACGGCCCAGACUCCUACGGGAGGCAGCAGUGGGGAAUUUUGGACAAUGGGCGCAAGCCUGAUCCAGCCAUGCCGCGUGCGGGAAGAAGGCCUUCGGGUUGUAAACCGCUUUUGUCAGGGAAGAAAAGGUUCUGGCUAAUACCUGGGACUCAUGACGGUACCUGAAGAAUAAGCACCGGCUAACUACGUGCCAGCAGCCGCGGUAAUACGUAGGGUGCAAGCGUUAAUCGGAAUUACUGGGCGUAAAGCGUGCGCAGGCGGUUAUGCAAGACAGAGGUGAAAUCCCCGGGCUCAACCUGGGAACUGCCUUUGUGACUGCAUGGCUAGAGUACGGUAGAGGGGGAUGGAAUUCCGCGUGUAGCAGUGAAAUGCGUAGAUAUGCGGAGGAACACCGAUGGCGAAGGCAAUCCCCUGGACCUGUACUGACGCUCAUGCACGA